UUAAAAAAGGAAACUCAAAAACCCCCAGAAAUUCUAUCGUGUGGCAUCAUAUUGGAACCAACAUGUCUCAUCAAAAGCUUUAGAUCCACUGCACUGAUGUCUAACCACUGGAGCUAAUGGAGUAACUGACAGAAAUUUCUAACACAUUUGUCAACACUUCAUUAUAACAUUAACACUGGGCCUAAAAUGAUUUCCAUAAAAUGAAUGAGUGAAGUUAGCUUCAUAAAACUAAUAAAAUGCCUGCUCCUAAAGAAGAACAGGACACUUCUGCAACUAACAAGUUUUCACCAUCAGAUAAUCCUGGCAAUCCUCUGUGGCCUGGAAUUCCUGGAAGACCAUAACUGUUAUCACCUGGAACACCUUUCUGGCCUGCAAGUCCAGGAGUGCCAGGAAAACCUGGGGCACCGUCAGGAGAAGAACCCCUUUCACCUUCAUCACCUGGAUCACCAGCAUUGCCUCGAAAGCCUAUUGAAUUUAAAAAUCACACAACAUAGACAACCAUUCAGAUGGUUCUGAAUUGAUCAAGUCUCAGCAGCACCUUCUAUUGUGGUAGUAACAGAGCAUACUGGAAGGGAUUCAUCUAUACAUCAGCCUAACUGGAGAUAUAACUUCCAUCCCAACCUGAACAACCAUACAACUGAACUUUAGACACACAUCCUGCAUUUCAGGGGAAAGAGGCUGAGAUGGUUAAAACUAGCAAGGCAGCUCACCCUAUCCUGUGUAAGUAUACAUGCACUUGUAUUAACAGUCUGUGCAGCUCCAUGUUUCAGGGAUAAAAAAAUACUGUCUCUCUCUCACUUACCGUCUGGCCCUAUAUCUCCUGAUGUCCCUGGUUUGCCUCGUUGGCCCUUUUGCCCAUCAAAGCCAUU